AUCCACCUGACGAGUCUAAGAUGGAACGAAACGCACGUCCUGGAU
rnacentral:hammerhead_ribozyme from 1 species